CCCAACAGGAAGCUGCCUGCAAAUUCAGGUAGCUUUUCUGCAUCUAAAAGAGGUCUUGAAGAUACCUUCAGAGAAAUGCCAGCAAAAGUUGUAGUCAUCUGGGGAAGAAUGAGUCUGGAAAACAAAUACGCAGUGGACUAGCACCAAAAGGCUUGAAGAGUUCAUGACAGUCCAUCAUGCUGACAAUCCUGAGGAUACUAAGCAAAUCAUUGCCCAUUCAGGAAAGAAGAACAUAUUCUAAAGUAUAUAUUUAAUGGCUGUGACUGGCCUGUGAGAAGAGUGAGGAGAAAUGACUUCAGUGGCCCCACAGGAGUUCGGAGCAGAGAACAGGGCUUCAUCAGGUCUGGCACUGUUCUUGGGCACCAAGUCCCUCGUCUACCACCAGAGAAAGUUUAAAACGCAUGAAUGAUCCUGAGAUAAAGCCAAUGAGCACUUCUUAACCAGAGAAGCCUCAACUACCCAGAGAUAAGGAAAGUAACUCAAGGAUGUUGGAAAGAGUACAAUAUUGACUAUGGCUUUGGGCCUGGCAACUUCUGGACUCCCCAUCUCCACUGCUGGGAAUGGCUCUUGACACCACAUAUGCUUUCCGGGAAUGUUUUUGAAGCUGAGCCCAAGAGGUUUCUCAGCUAUGCUUGCAAAGUUUUUGCAGACAGCCAAGCAGAUGCCCACUACAUCUACUGCCCUCUACACAGCUUGAGCAGCUUUAUCUGCUUAAAUAUUAACCUUCUGGUUCAGACUAUAUUUAAAGGGUUCCACUUAACACACUUCAUUCGGUUUCUGAAAACCAGUUAGAUUUCUGGAGUCAGAAAUGACUCCAGAGUCUGCAUGACACUGACCACCCUCAGCUACAUUCUUUUCUAUGUCAGAGCACUAUUUGUAUGGUAGAAUUUCUCCUCUUAUAAAAGAGAGAAGAUGUGCUUUCAUCCUUGCAGGAUACGUGUGAUGGUGAAUAAGAUAAAACCUAAAUUUACUCAGAGAUAAAUACUGCAUAUUAAGUGUUAUAACCACACAUCAAUAGACUCCAUUUUCAAUUGUGGUUUCAAGAGUAUUAGGCUAUCUGCUGGACAGGGAGGCCUGGCGUGCUGCGAUUUAUGGGGUCGCAAAGAGUCGGACACGACUGAGCAACUGAACUGAACUGAACUGGCUUAGCUCACUCAUCUUACCCCUUUGGUAAGACUAGCUCUUAUAUUUUUCAUAUAGUUAGAUAAGGUGAAAAGAUAAGAUCUCACUUAGCUCAUGCCUUCAUUUUUUUAAGAGACACCUAUGAUUACUGUAUGGAAAAUAGACCGAAAUGGGAAAGACUAGCAAUGGGGAGAUUAGUUAGGCAGCCAGUGUCAUCACCCAGUAAAGAGAUAAAAACCCAUACUUCAAAGUACAUUUACUUUCACAAGUUACAAAAGUACACAAGUCUCACAUGGAUGCCUACUGGAUCGGCUUUUCCAUACCAAAGAAGAGGGGGAUAGUGCAACACUAGACUCUUGGUUCAAUUUCCAGGGUGGCCAUUGUAGAACCUUGAUUCUUGCAUCUUGGUAACUUGUUUCUUGUAUCUAUGUAUCUAUGUUUUCUCAUCUUUAAAAGGAGGUUAGAAGUACCACAUAGGAUUGUCAAGAACACAGGAGUAAGUAUACGUGAACUGUUCAAAAUAGUGCUCAUUGUUUUUUGCCUGGCAUACAAGUGGGGCAAUGUGGUUUGUAGCCCCAAGAGGGCAGCAGAGGAAUAAGAACAGAUGUGGAAUUACACAAAGCCAGAUUCACGCUAGUUAUCAAAGAUGUAUUGUCUGAUGCGGAAAAAAAAAAAAAAAAAAACAGGAAGAAGACUUCUAUGAAUCAUGCAAAAUGGAAGCUGAGCUCGGGGUCACUUAGACCUUGCUAUUUUGUUCUGGCUAACCAUUCAAGACACAAGUAUAGUCAAAAUCAAUCCCUUGAGUAAUAGAUGCCACCUCCUGAUGGGGAGUGGCAAGUUCUGGAAAAGCAUAUGGGGAAAUAUUCUUAUAUCCACUUUUUAAAAAAUAUAAUCAACCAUAAAGUGGAUCCUAGAAAUAUGCACUGGAUUCUUUCUCUCUCUCAUUUUCACAUGCAAAGCAUGAGAAAGUCUUGGCAAAAUACAUUCUAAAAUUAAUUUGAUCUCACUUCCACCGCUCCCCCGGGAGUCCAAGCUGACAUGCUUUUCUCUCUGGGUUACAGCAAAGCCUCCUGAGAGGCUUCCUCGCUUUCAAUUUAGCCCCACAUAUUUCUCUUUUAAACUAGAGCCAGUGAAACUUUUAAAAAUGUUAACCUGAUCAUGUCACACUGCUCAGCUUAAAACCAUCCGAUGGCUUCCUAUCAUCCUUAAAAUAAAAGCCUAAACUUUAAUGGCGGCCUACAAAGACCCCCUGUAUUCAGAUCUCUCUCUCCUUUUCAUUUCAGCUUUGGCUUUCCCUCCAGCACACACACACUGAUCUUCUUCCUCUAAUGCUAAUGCCUGGAGGUGUUUUUGUCUCAGGGCCUUCUGUUCCCAAAUCGCUUUAUACCUGCCCUAUCCCAUUACUCACAUCUCUGCUCAAAUACCACCUCUCUGAUCACCCAAUAUAAUGAGCACUUCUUUUCCUUAACUCUGCUUUAUUUUCUUAUCACUGAGAUUGUUAUUUAUAUAUUUGAUUCCUUGUUCACAGUCUGUUCCUCCCUCUAGAAUAUGAGCACUUCACAGACAGGACUUUGGGUUUUGUUCACUGCUUUUACUAACAGUAUCUUGAUCCAUUCAAUAAACAUCUAUGUUGAACACUGACUAAAGAAUUUUUUUAGAAAGAAAUACAUUUUUUGUGUCCUUGCUGAUUGAAUGUGGCAUAAAGUAAGCUGUAUUUUCACUCUAAUGAAAACAUGUUUGUGCUCCCUAUUAGUCAUGGGCAAUUCUUUCCUAGGACCCUGUGGUCUUAUGGACUAGUUUGGGAAUAGAUGGUUGUUUCAGUGCGUACACUUUAGAGGUUUCAACUUGACACUGGCUGUUUAUACUGCUGAAGUUUAGUCAUGUCGG